AGUCGAGCGGUAGAGAGGAGCUUGCUUCUCUUGAGAGCGGCGGACGGGUGAGUAAUGCCUAGGAAUCUGCCUGGUAGUGGGGGAUAUCGUCCGGAAACGGACGCUAAUACCGCAUACGUCCUACGGGAGAAAGCAGGGGACCUUCGGGCCUUGCGCUAUCAGAUGAGCCUAGGUCGGAUUAGCUAGUUGGUGAGGUAAUGGCUCACCAAGGCGACGAUCCGUAACUGGUCUGAGAGGAUGAUCAGUCACACUGGAACUGAGACACGGUCCAGACUCCUACGGGAGGCAGCAGUGGGGAAUAUUGGACAAUGGGCGAAAGCCUGAUCCAGCCAUGCCGCGUGUGUGAAGAAGGUCUUCGGAUUGUAAAGCACUUUAAGUUGGGAGGAAGGGUACUUACCUAAUACGUGAGUAUUUUGACGUUACCGACAGAAUAAGCACCGGCUAUCUCUGUGCCAGCAGCCGCGGUAAUACAGAGGGUGCAAGCGUUAAUCGGAAUUACUGGGCGUAAAGCGCGCGUAGGUGGUUCGUUAAGUUGGAUGUGAAAUCCCCGGGCUCAACCUGGGAACUGCAUCCAAAACUGGCGAGCUAGAGUAUGGUAGAGGGUGGUGGAAUUUCCUGUGUAGCGGUGAAAUGCGUAGAUAUAGGAAGGAACACCAGUGGCGAAUGCGACCACCUGGACUGAUACUGACACUGAGUGCGAAGCGUGGGAGCAAACAGGAUUAGAUACCCUGGUAGUCCACGCCGUAAACGAUGUCAACUAGCCGUUGGGAGCCUUGAGCUCUUAGUG
rnacentral:rRNA from 1 species